rnacentral:rRNA from 1 species
UACGUAGGGUGCAAGCGUUACUCGGAAUUACUGGGCGUAAAGCGUGCGUAGGUGGUUUGUUAAGUCUGAUGUGAAAGCCCUGGGCUCAACCUGGGAAUUGCACUGGAUACUGGCAGGCUAGAGUGCGGUAGAGGAUGGCGGAAUUCCCGGUGUAGCAGUGAAAUGCGUAGAGAUCGGGAGGAACAUCUGUGGCGAAGGCGGCCAUCUGGACCAGCACUGACACUGAGGCACGAAAGCGUGGGGAGCAAACAGG